AUUGAACGCUGGCGGCAUGCCUUACACAUGCAAGUCGAACGGCAGCACGGGUGCUUGCACCUGGUGGCGAGUGGCGAACGGGUGAGUAAUACAUCGGAACGUACCUUAUCGUGGGGGAUAACGCAGCGAAAGCUGUGCUAAUACCGCAUACGCCCUGAGGGGGAAAGCGGGGGAUCGAAAGACCUCGCGCGAUUAGAGCGGCCGAUGCCUGAUUAGCUUGUUGGUGGGGUAAAAGCCCACCAAGGCGACGAUUAGUAGCUGGUCUGAGAGGACGAACAGCCACACGGGGACUGAGAAACGGCCCAGACUCCUGCGGGAGGCAGCAGUGGGGAAUUUUGGACAAUGGGGGCAACCCUGAUCCAGCAAUGCCGCGUGAGUGAAGAAGGCCUUCGGGUUGUAAAGCUCUUUUGUCAGGGAAGAAACACCGGCUCUAACACAGUCCGGGAAUGACGGUACCUGAAGAAUAAGCACCGGCUAACUACGUGCCAGCAGCCGCCGCCG
rnacentral:rRNA from 1 species